GCCUGUCGUCCGCGCUUGGUAUUAACUUUCAACAACAGCCAGCAGAGUGUGCUCUGAACGCUGUGAAAAGGACGUCCUGCUACUGACUGGGAGGGAUCAAUCUGACGGCGCAGUCACAGCACAAUAUUCUCCCCAGCUCUGCUUCCGACCAGAAUGAACCAAGUACAGUGCUUCUGACUUUCAUGGUCAUGAGAAGGACGUUGGGCUGAACAGGUUCUUCAUCCAAGGCAGUACACCCCCUUCCUCUGUAUUCACGGAGAAUCACGCUGUAACUGCU